ACGAACGCUGGCGGCGCGCCUCACCCAUGCAAGUCGAACGAGCGAGAGAGAGCUUGCUUUCUCGAGCGAGUGGCGAACGGGUGAGUAACGCGUGAGGAACCUGCCUCAAAGAGGGGGACAACAGUUGGAAACGACUGCUAAUACCGCAUAAGCCCACGGCUCGGCAUCGAGCAGGGGGAAAAGGAGCAAUCCGCUUUGAGAUGGCCUCGCGUCCGAUUAGCUAGUUGGUGGGGUAACGGCCCACCAAGGCGACGAUCGGUAGCCGGACUGAGAGGUUGAACGGCCACAUUGGGACUGAGACACGGCCCAGUCUCCUACGGGAGGCAGCAGUGGGGAAUAUUGCACAAUGGGGGAAACCCUGAUGCAGCGACGCCGCGUGGAGGAAGAAGGUCUUCGGAUUGUAAACUCCUGUUGUUGGGGAAGAUAAUGACGGUACCCAACAAGGAAGUGACGGCUAACUACGUG
rnacentral:rRNA from 1 species